GCAAUCCUACGGGGGGCAGCAGUGAGGGAUAUUGGUCAAUGGGGGAAACCCUGAACCAGCAACGCCGCGUGAGGGAAGACGGUUUUCGGAUUGUAACCCUCUGUCCUCUGUGACGAUGAUGACGGUAGCAGAGGAGGAAGCUCCGGCUAACUACGUGCCAGCCGCCGCGGUACUACGUAGGGCGCAAGCGUUGUCCGGCUUUACUGGGUGUCAAGGGUGCGUAGGCGGCUUUGCAAGUCAGAAGUGAACUCUCUGGGCUUACCCCAUCCACUGCUUUUGAAACU
rnacentral:rRNA from 1 species